rnacentral:misc_RNA from 1 species
GAGUUGUUUCGACCCCCAUCGAGUUAGUUCUAAUGAAAGUUUCACUUCAUAUCUUUGAGCAAUUUUUCAUUGUUGAGAAUUAUGCAACAGUUUGAUUGUUUGUUUUCUAUCAUUCCCUCCCUGGUUCCAUUCUUCUUUCGAACUUGUUUACGUAAUUGUCAAAGUCACAAAUAUAGGGCCAAGCAAAAUGGGGGGUCUUUAUCAGUUUUGUGGGAUCUAUGAACCAUUUU